UACGAAGGGGGCUAGCGUUGCUCGGAAUUACUGGGCGUAAAGCGCACGUAGGCGGAUUGUUAAGUCGGGGGUGAAAUCCUGGAGCUCAACUCCAGAACUGCCUUCGAUACUGGCGAUCUCGAGUUCGGGAGAGGUGAGUGGAACUGCGAGUGUAGAGGUGAAAUUCGUAGAUAUUCGCAAGAACACCAGUGGCGAAGGCGGCGACCUGGGUUGACACUGACGCUGAGGCGCGAAAGCGUGGGGAGCAAACAGG
rnacentral:rRNA from 1 species